GAAACAUUAAAAUAAUUUCAAAACACAUAAAUUUUGAAUUAUUGCCGCCGAACCGACUCGCACCGGGACCGUGCACAUCGUAGGCGAGUUUUAAAAUCAAUUUAGUUGGAUGGCAACUGGGAGCAGGAGUGCCUGGGAUGGGGGAUUGGGAUUGCAACACGGUGCAGUCUGCUGGUGUUUGCACCAUAAUUAGAGGCAAUUUCGAACGAUCGUGCGAAUGAGCUGCCCGGUGGGCCGGCGUUGCCACCCCGUCGGCGCACGCCCCCCCCGCCCGUACGUACGUUUCAGUCGAGAGGAGCUUCCACUUAAAUUGAUUUAUGUGCGCCUGAUCGGGCGCAUUUGUCAGGCCGUCGGCAGUUGGCAGUCGGACCUGGUGCUGGCUAGUUGCUUUCCAGUUUUCUGCUAAUUAAAUUUGCAUAAGUGGGCGCACUUUUGACAGUGGGCGUGGUCGCCUAUUACAGCUGCUUGCCACCGAUCUCAGGUAGCACUUGGAAUUGUGCACCCUUGUGCGUGACCUUGGCCCAAUUCUAGUCUAGCGCUAACAAGGCGUAGGGUCAAGGGGUCACUGGAGACAAUGCGAUGUUUAAUGAAGGGCUCACAUCUUGGCAUUUGUCAACGGUCUGCUCCUGCAUUCCGUUAGUUUCUCAGGCUUUUCCGGACAUUUGUAAUUUAAUCAGCGCAACAUUGUCUAUGUCGUGUAUCUGUGGAAAUAUACACGUUAUACUCAAAGUGGGCCAACUAACAAGCAACCUAACCUUAAAAUGAGGGUAACUAACGGUGAAGCCAAUUACAAGGGGCAAACAAAAAGCAAUAACAAAAUCAAAUUCAAACAUGCACACGUAUGCAUGCAUGCGUGUAUGUGUAUGUGUGUGUGUGUGUGUUUUUGACAAUGCAAUAAAUGAGCAACUUUUCAAAACGAAAGUGUCGAUAGGUGGCGGUUCGUACAUCCAAACAACAACAACAACAACAACAAGACAACGAAGGAGAGACAGAGAGGCAGAAAGCAAACGGUAGCUAAAGAGGAAGUGCCAUAAAAAUGCAAUUUUAGAUUUCAUCAACUGAUAAGAAAAGUUUUCAAAUUAGCCACAAAAUGGAAUAUGAAAUGCGAAUAUUGCGAAUGAAAACUGUAAAAUGAACAACACAACAACAAUAAGAACUUAUACUCAUAUGCUUGAUUAGAAAACAAAACAAGUGUGCUUUAAUUGGCUAUACCCGACUACCAGCUGCCCUGUAUCUUAAUAUAAUGCACUUUUAUGUAUAAAACAAUACUUUUCAUAUACUUAGGAAAUA